UUCGUCAGUAGAAUGCAACCGUGCUGGUAGUGUUACGCGGUCAUUACUAAUUACGAGGCUCGAUGCUUCGUGGGUUUAAUCACCAGCUACUCGCGGUAAUGGAAUAUAAAUUUUUGCACCGCUGCUGAAAAUUUGGAAGUGAAUUUUUCUUCAUCAAAUCGCUUAAACCGAAUUUUCGUGAACAAAAAUCUCCGAAAUCCUAUUUCAAAAGUACGCGUAAAAAUAAUUUCUCUGGCACAACAUUAACUCGUUUUAGAGAGGUUAAAAUUUUGUGGAUUCUGCUACUCAACAACUGGCCUUGGAAGAAUGAUCGACAGGAUUUGAUCGAACGAAUUGGUCUGAUGACGAAAAUCGUUUGAAAAACUUUACAGUUAAUCUAUCACGAUGAAAGCGUUCGUGCGUUGCGUUAAAAGCCGUACAAGCAAACUCUGAGGCUGGAGCGAUUACUCACAAACGCUACUGUCACUACUCGUCGCGUCCUCGUCAACGUUGUAUUCACAAUCAUUUUUUUUAUUCUUCCGCCUUAUUAUGGAGCUCCACAUUUUUCUGCGAGUCGACAUUUUUGUUUCUGUUGCUUCGAGGCACUGUCGUUGGAUUUCAAUAGUGCACUUUGGUAUGACGGCGAGUUUGUUCCAAAAAUUUUAAGGAGGCUGAUGAUCGAGCUCAAUUGUUUGGGGUUCGUAACACUUUUCUCUUCGAAAUUCUCAUUUCGGCAUAACUCAAACCCGCUGAUCGAGCCUGUUUCUUCAAAGGGUUUAAAAACUUUUUUCUAAUAUCAAAACAUUUUUAAGGUUUUUGGUAAGUGAGAGUUGCGAAGAAUGUGCUACGGAUCGACGCAUAAUUGCGGACCAAAGCGAACCGGAUCCAAGUCCUUAAAGGAGAGGAAAAAGAGUUCUCGCGAUUAAGGCGAUACGAGACGAGAAAUCGUGUUUUCCUUAUAUCGCUUCAUUUGCACACAGUAUAUACUCGUCGUUUUACACACUUUCGCGAUAGAGGCACGUCAAGCGCUCACAGGAACGUCGAUCACACGAGCUGCACUUACGGAACAUCUGUAAUGCUUCCGGUACGAGGACUCUGUUAUUAAACCGAGGGAUCGGACAGAAAGAUUUUUCCCAUUUUUUGAACGCUGGAGAACGCUGGUUCUGCGCAGAAUUCAAAGCGUUCUUUGUCGCCGGCGCAACGAGCUCAGUGACAAUUCCGAAUAUUUCAAGACCAAUCACUAAUUCGCACGAACCCAAUAUCGGCACUUGGCGCGAAGUUAUAAGAACGAAGCGGAGGCUCAGACUGAACGAAAAACUGUCACAAUGAAGCUAAAAACGUCAUCGCGUACUACGUCCUCGAAUGGCUCGCGUGAAAUAUCGAGGAUGCGGUCGUCUGUUGAGAUAAGAAUGAGCUGCUUGUUUCUUUUAUUUUUCCCCAUUCAAGUGACGAGCGCAAACGAAACGGGGAUCGAAUACGAGCUUCGCUUUUCAGAGUUUCCGUCACCGGUCGAUUCUCAAUAACGUUCUGACACUGAACUUCGACGUUUACAAUGUCAGAAAAUAUAUCCAAAUUCUUUAGACUGGCUGUGUGUUUUUCCACACUUGAAUUCCCCUCGGAGAUGUUCGCCAUUUUGAUUUCUCAACGCGUUGAAUUUACCCAGCGAAACACCUUUCGAUUGUCGCGCGUUUUAAAAACCUCGAAAUAUGCAAAUUACCAAGAGAAUUUGUGAGCGCGAUGCUGCAGGAAUGAUGCAAGAACGAAUGUUGCAUGAUAUUCAACGAAAAUGUAUAAAAAUAGAACUGCAAACUCGGGUAUUAAACGUAUACAAGAAGAUUUACGUAUAAUCGUUUGUGGAAUCAGCAGCAGAGAAAAUAAUUACAGCGUCGAGGUCGUUCGGUGGCGUUUCCGAAGGAAAAAAUAGCUCGAAUCGCUUUUUCUUCCAAUCUCAUUUCGUACGCGUGUUUAUCGUAUUCAGAGUCGCGCAGUGUCUGCGCUCGUCGAUUAUAAUUCCAACGCGUUGAUUCUAUCAAACUGCCGCAUUGUCUAAUCGGAAUCGAUGACGAAAGCU